rnacentral:rRNA from 1 species
UACGUAGGGUGCAAGCGUUAAUCGGAAUUACUGGGCGUAAAGCGUGCGCAGGCGGUUGUGCAAGACAGAUGUGAAAUCCCCGGGCUUAACCUGGGAAUUGCAUUUGUGACUGCACGGCUAGAGUGUGGUCAGAGGGGGGUAGAAUUCCACGUGUAGCAGUGAAAUGCGUAGAUAUGAUGGAGGAAUACCGAUGGCGAAGGCAGCCCCCCUGGGA